UACGUAGGGGGCAAGCGUUGUCCGGAUUUAUUGGGCGUAAAGAGCUCGUAGGCGGUUGGGUAAGUCGGGUGUGAAAACUCCAGGCUCAACUUGGAGACGCCACCCGAUACUGCUCUGACUUGAGUUCGGUAGGGGAGUGGGGAAUUCCUGGUGUAGCGGUGAAAUGCGCAGAUAUCAGGAGGAACACCGGUGGCGAAGGCGGAUCUCUGGGCCUGUCCUGACGCUGAGGCGCGAAAGCUAGGGGAGCGAACAGG
rnacentral:rRNA from 1 species